CUUGAGCACAAGGUCACCUUCUCGGAACACACGAGACUUGACCUUCUUGUCGAAUGCUUUUUCACUCUCUGCUGAUAUGACUGACCAUGACACAUGGCAGUUGAUCUCUUCCUUUCGAUCGAAUUCAGCAUCAGCCAACUUGGGACUUUGAGGGUGCUAUUUUUUGUUUCUUUCUUUCUCUUUUCUGAUUUGGGUUUCUUUUGAUUUUGCACCCUCUUUUUCUUCUUUUCUUUUUUUAUUUUACACUUUUUUUUUGAUGCCCCAGUUGGCUGUUCU
rnacentral:lncRNA from 1 species